GGGGCCCGGGGAGCCUGGGGCGCGCGCUGCUGCUUGGCCACUUUGGGCUUUAACCGCCGCUCCUCCCCUGGGCUGUGGGGUUUUUUUGAUUACAGGAAACUAGAGGACUGUAGGGAAGUCCGGCCUUGAGCGGGCUGAAGCGACUGCUGUCACUACUACAUUCUUUUUUAGGUGUGACAGGGCCUUGGAUCUAUAGACAAGCUUCUUGUUCACCAGGAGCACCCCUGCAAUGUGCAUUUUCGUGUCAAAGCCACAUCGUUGCCUUUGUAAUGAAUCAGCACUUACACCUGUACUAGGCAAUCAUGCAGUUGGCACCCCAAAAGAAAGCUUCACCACAUGGACUGAAUUCCAUUAGCUGAGCAGAGAUAGAGCAGUGUCAGCUCUCAGAGUACUGGAAGUCGU